ACAGAGGUCCCAAGCGUUGUUCGGAUUCACUGGGCGUAAAGGGUGCGUAGGUGGCUGGGUAAGUUCGGUGUGAAAUCUCCAGGCUCAACCUGGAAAUGGCAUUGAAUACUAUUCAGCUCGAGGGUCGUAGGGGUGACUGGAAUUCCCGGUGUAGGAGUGAAAUGCGUAGAUAUCGGGAGGAACACCAGUGGCGAAGGCGACUCUCUGGACAGCACCUGACACUGAGGCACGAAAGCUAGGGGAGCAAACAG
rnacentral:rRNA from 1 species